GAUGAAGAACGUAGCGAAAUGCGAUAAGUAAUGUGAAUUGCAGAAUUCAGUGAAUCAUCGAAUCUUUGAACGCACAUUGCGCCCGCCAGUAUUCUGGCGGGCAUGCCUGUUCGAGCGUCAUUUCAACCAUCAAGCCCCAGGCUUGUGUUGGGGACCUGCGGCUGCCGCAGGCCAUGAAAACCAGUGGCGGGCUCGCUAGUCACACCGAGCGUAGUAGCAUACACAUCGCUCAGGGCGUGCUGCGGGUUCCGGCCGUUAAACCCCUUUUUUACCCAAGGUUGACCUCGGAUCAGGUAGGAAGACCCGCUGAACUUAAGCAUAUCAAUAAGCGGAGGA
rnacentral:misc_RNA from 1 species